rnacentral:rRNA from 1 species
GCAUAGCGGUAUCCUGAGUAACGCGGGACACGAGGAAUCCUGCGCGAAUCUGCCGGGACCAUCCGGUAAGGCUAAAUACUCCCGUGAGACCGAUAGCGAACGAGUACUGUGAAGGAAAGGUGAAAAGAACCCCGAGCAGGGGAGUGAAAUAGUUCCUGAAACCAUACGCCUACAAGCGGUCGGAGCAUCUUACGAUGUGACGGCGUGCCUUUUGCAUAAUGAUCCUACGAGUUACCGUCACUGGCGAGGUUGAGUGUCAUGAGACACGUAGCCGCAGUGAAAGCGAGCCUGAACAGGGCGCAUAGUCAGUGGGGGUAGACGCGAAACCAAGUGAUCUACACUUGGCCAGGAUGAAGUCCCGGUAACACGGGAUGGAGGUCCGCACCAAUAAGCGUUGAAAAGCUUCUGGAUGAGCCGAGUGUAGGAGUGAAAGGCCAAUCAAACUUGGAGAUAGCUCGUACUCCCCGAAAGGCAUUUAGGUGCCGCGUCGGAUGGUCACCGUGAGAGGUAGAGCGACCGAUAGGACAAGAGGGCUUCACCGCCUAUCGAGUCCUGACGAACUCCGAAUGCUCACGGUCUGCAGUCCGGCAGUAAGGGGGCGGGUGCUAAGGUCCGUCCCCGAGAGGAGAAGAAUCCAGACCGCCGUCUAAGGUCCCGGAGUUCUGCCUGAGUUAGUCUAACGAAGUCUGGUCCCUAUGACAGCUAGGAUGUUGGCUUGGAAGCAGCCAUUCAUUCAAAGAGUGCGUAACAGCUCACUAGUCGAGGGUCCGGGCAUGGAUAAUAAUCGGGUAUAAGGCAGACACCGAAGGCGCGGGAUAGCAUUUAAGAAAGUAUCGGUAGGGGAGCAUACUCACAGCGUGGAAUGGUGUACGUAAGUUAUCCUGGAGCGGUGAGUAAAGCAAAUGUAGGAAUAAGUAACGAUAAGGAGGGUUAGAUUCCCUCCCGCUGUAAGACCAAGGUUUCCCGGGCAAUGCCAAUCAGCCCGGGGUCAGUCGGGUCCUAAGUCUAAGCCGAACGGCGAUGGCGAUGGCAGAGACGGUUAAUAUUCCGUCACUGCCGCAUGGGGCGACGUGGAGACGGAGCAGUGAAACCACCGCGGGGCGACGGAAGUCCCCGUUGAAGAGUGUAGGUGUUGAGGAUGGCAGGCAAAUCCACCGUCCGAGCUGAACUUGAUAGUAUGGAGUCUUCUUCGGAAGAAUCCAAUAGUGUGGGUAAUCAUACUCCCGAGAAAAUCCGCUAAGCUUAACCCAUGCGGCACCCGUACCGCAAACGGACACACGUGGUCGGGUAGAACAUACUAAGGCGUUGAGAGAUUCAUGGUUAAGGAACUAGGCAAAUUGACCCUGUAACUUCGGGAUAAAGGGUCCUCGUGAUGAGCGAGGCGCAGAGAAUAGGUCCAGGCAACUGUUUAACAAAAACACAGGGCUGUGCAAACUCGAAAGAUGACGUAUACAGCCUGACACCUGCCCGGUGCCGGAAGGUUAAGAGGAGAUGUCACUCGCAAGAGGAAGCAUUGAAUUGAAGCCCCGGUAAACGGCGGCCGUAACUAUAACGGUCCUAAGGUAGCGAAAUUCCUUGUCGGGUAAGUUCCGACCUGCACGAAUGGUGUAAUGAUCCGGACGCUGUCUCAACCAUGAGCUCAGUGAAAUUGUAGUAUCGGUGAAGAUGCCGAUUACCCGCGAUGGGACGAAAAGACCCCGUGAACCUUUACUACAGCUUAGCAUUGACCUUGGUCAUCCGAUGUGUAGGAUAGGCCGGAGGCUUCGAAGCGGGAGCGCCAGCUUUCGUGGAGCCAUCCUUGAAAUACGGCCCUUUGGCUGUCUGAGGUCUAACGCGUGAUACGCGGACACUGCUUGGUGGGUAGUUUGACUGGGGUGGUCGCCUCCAAAAGCGUAACGGAGGCUUCCAAAGGUGCCCUCGGGUCGAUUGGUAACCGACCUCAAAGAGUGCAAUGGCAUAAGGGCGCUUGACUGGGAGGCAGACAUGCCGAGCAGGCAGGAAACUGGGGCAUAGUGAUCCGGCGGAUGUGUAUGGAAACUCCGUCGCUCAAAGGAUAAAAGGUACUCCGGGGAUAACAGGCUGAUCCCCCCCAAGAGCUCAUAUCGACGGGGUGGUUUGGCACCUCGAUGUCGGCUCGUCACAUCCUGGGGCUGGAGAAGGUCCCAAG